GAUGAACGCUGGCGGCGUGCCUAAUACAUGCAAGUCGAGCGGUAACACUUCGGGUGACGAGCGGCGGACGGCUGAGUAACGCGUAGGAACAUACCCCAAACUGAGGGAUAAGCACCGGAAACGGUGUCUAAUACCGCAUGUGGUCUUCGGAUUAAAGCUUCGGCGGUUUGGGAAUGGCCUGCGUCCGAUUAGCUUGUUGGUGAGGUAAAAGCUCACCAAGGCGACGAUCGGUAGCUGGUCUGAGAGGAUGAUCAGCCAGACUGGGACUGAGACACGGCCCAGACUCCUACGGGAGGCAGCAGUAGGGAAUUUUCCACAAUGGGCGAAAGCCUGAUGGAGCAACGCCGCGUGCAGGAUGAAGGCCUUCGGGUUGUAAACUGCUUUUAUCUGUGAAGAUUAUGACGGUAGCAGAUGAAUAAGGAUCGGCUAACUCCGUGCCAGCCGCCGCGGUAA
rnacentral:rRNA from 1 species